GAGGUGGGGCAGGUGGUUCGUGUUGUCGGCCCGCCCACCUCCGCUCCCGACCCAGACGGAGCGUACUGUAUUCCGUGAGCCUGGGGUUUUUAAAAGCACGACCGGAAGCCGGAGGGAGAGAGAGACGCGCCGGCGAGAAGACGGCGAGAGAAAAAGCGCUCUUGAUUUCUUGUAACCGAGAAAAAGCCACGGGCUUUAAAUAAAAUAGCACGCAAGUGCUACGAACUGGAAA